rfam:Stenotrophomonas chelatiphaga strain DSM 21508 contig_65, whole genome shotgun sequence.
UCGCCAGCCGCAGUUCCCAACCGGUCCUACUCCCCAAGAGGCCAUCCCCAUGGGAGCUCACGCUGCGGGGCCCUGAGCAAGCCCACCGCUGGCUUUAAAAUGACACAGGCCUGGUCCGGAGGGACCAGGCCUGUGUUUUUUCAG